UGGCACAUCGCAACAGACGGUUCCCCAAGCCGGAAAAACCGCACGGGGAUGAAAAGGGAACGCGGUGAGGUGUAGCCAUCAGGCGCCAAACCCGCGACUGCCCCCGCAACUGUAAGCGGCGAGCCGCCCCCGAUUGCGCCACUGGCCCCAAGGCCGGGAAGGCCAGGGGACCGGCCCCGACCCGCGAGUCAGGAGACCUGCCGUCAAAGCCCCGGGGCA
rnacentral:ncRNA from 1 species